rnacentral:lncRNA from 1 species
CUUAGCCGAUCAACUCAGCAACUUCUUUCUCCUAUUCGACGUUCACGCACGCCUCAGCCAUCCCCUCUCCUCCGCUGCCUUUUCCCUCGCAUCUCUCUCUCUUCGUCUGCCCAUUCACCCCACCAAAGUUGCUCGGCAUCAUCAUCACCCCGUAAAUCCCACCGACUCAGCCGCUCCAUCCCGCUGCCGCCCACCGAUUCUCCACGUUCUUCUCCAAUUCCCUGCCAACGAAAACCACCACCUCUUGCUUCUUCGGUCAAAGCUCCAAACCGAAGCCUCUCCAUUGUUGACUCCGCUUGUUCCUUGCCAGCUUCAAGUUCGACGCCCUCUCCACCCGGCCUCGACCAGCAGUGAUUGAGUUGCUUCCUCCCACUGAAGGCCAAAGCCCACGUCUCCUCCUUCAAACCCCAGCCCACCAACAAAGACUCCAGCUGGUCUCCUUCCACCGAAGCUUUCAUUUUUCCCUGCUUCCUCGUGUCUUCAGCUGGAUCGGUCAACUCCAGCACCCCUCGAAGACCACCGAACUUCGCAACGUCAGCUGCUCCCAAGCCUUCGACCCACAGCCCAUCUUCAGCAAUUUCGUGGCCCAAUCCCACCGAGUGCAGAAGCCCAGCAGCUUCUUCUUUGCUCGAGCCUAGAAGCCUACACGUCCGGCCCAAGCUCAGCCGCCCAUCUCCUUUGAGUCGCAGCAGACAGCCCACAAUCCGGUCAAGUCUCAGCCCAUACAUUUUCUGUUCAGCCUAGUUUCGAAGCCCAAGAGAGAUCAGCCCAGUCUUGAGGCCAGCGAAGCAAUCCAAGCCCAAGUCUAAGCCCAGAAAUUUCUAUGGGUUUGCAAGGUUUCUUGGCCCGGUCCGUGUGCCCGUCAACACCGCCGAAAAUUCGGAUUUCGGCUGCCGUCGCGCCGUCAUCGUGGUGAACCAAUCUUCACUUUAAAACAAGUGAGUUUAACUCAUUAAACCCUACUUAGUAGGUUAAUGAUGCUUAGGGGUUGAUUAUAUUAAAUUAAGCAUGUUAGGUGGAUAGAUUAGAUUAGAUUAGAUUAGUUAAUUUAAUUAUCUGUCGAUGCAUAUUAGGUGGUUAGUUAGUGGCAUUAGCGAGUAGACUCGUUCUAUUAUUUAAUUAACGAACCUUGGAAAUUUUCCGGGUCCGUUUCAACGUCCAAUUCGGCAUUAUGGGCCUAAAUUGGAUUUAUUGCAUUUAUUUAAUAUUUUCCGUAAUUAUUUAAUUAAUUAUUUAUUUUCCGGAAGUUCAACCGGGAUGGUCGAUGACCGGAAUUUCGUGUUGUUUGCAGUGGUGCUUUCUGUUUAUUUAAUUGAGCACUGGUUUGUGAAUAUUGAGUGAAUUGGCGAUUAUGUGGGAAUUUAUCCCAAAAUCGAUUAGUGUCGGUAUUCAAUUGAAAACAGAUCAUGAAAGGUUAUGAGUGGACCUAAGAAACCGCCGAAGUAUGGCUGUGCCAGUUGGGCCGAGAUUCGCCACCAACUUUGGAAUCGAUCGUGCCCAUUGGGCUGUGAUUUACCACCUGUUGGAGGUCGUGCCCACUAGGGCCAUUGUCCACCACCAAUUAAAGGUCGUGCCUUUGAGGCCUCGAUUCACCACUUGAUAGAGGUCGUGCCUAGUAGGGCCAUGAUCUGCCACCUAUUAAAGGUUGUGCCCACUAGGCCGUGAUUACCACUUAAAGAUAGGUUGUGUCCUUUGUAUCGCAACCUCUUCUUUCCGUUCGGGGGAAAAGAAAAAAUGGUUUAGGGGUAUUUGCCUAAAGAGGCGGACCAAUGGCCCUGGAUUAGGCGCAGACUCUCCUAAGCCCAUACCUCGCGUAACGUUGGAUUUUGUUUUUUAGUUCUUAACAACCUAUGUAUUUCUAAGAGUCGCCACUAGCCUAUUGGGGUCGGCUAGAAACCAAUCAAGACGUGGGAGUGUUGUCUCGAUUCCUACGCAACCAGAUAUUUCUAGAAACGGGGACUUGUUUACGCCAAUAUUUCUAUUAGCGCCCUUGCAGUACCACUAACUUGGAAGAUUAUUUAUCUGAAUGGCCACACAAUCUUGAUUACCAAUUAUAAUCUUUAUGAAACCACUAAGUGUCCAUGCAAAUGUUUCUGUAGUUUUUUUUUAAUGUCUAUACUAAUCCUAACAUAAUUUAAAAGAGAAAUUUACACUCCAAUUAAUGAAAAGCGGCGCGUAAGUAAACAUCCAAGAAAUUGAAAUGACUUGAAAAUAAAUGCGGAAUACAAAUCAGGCAAAUAAUAUUACAUGACCUUGUUAUCACGCCCCGAGACAGGACCUCCAUGAGCGAAAUGGGAAUUUAAAUAUGCAUGAAAUUACUCUAAAUAAUUUUAAUCUACGCAAAAUAGAUUAUUUACAAAAAUGGUUAUAAAAUACCAAAAUAGCAUUAAAUUAGGAAAAUGACCUUUUAAAAUUAGGAAAAUUUCAUAGAUGUCAUUUCUAUCAUAAUUUGGUGCCAUCCAUCAUUUUUAUAAUUUUUUUGAAAUUUUCAUUUUUUUUUUCAUUUUUUAAAUUUUUAUUUAAAAAUAAUUCCCUAAACCGAUAUAUGCUAAUUUAUACUAAUAUGGAACUGGUCAGUACAUGAAUAUAGCAAGAACCGAGCUCAAAUCGACCGUUUCAAGAUCGAAGUUUGGUUUGCACAUUUCGACGAACACUUGGUGUGCAUCAAAUCACCCCAAACCAGCUUCCUCGGGCCAUGUUUGCGACCUUCAAUCUCAACCCAUAAGCAAUUUCACAUGGAACUAAAGUAUCAAGAUUAUACUACCACAUGCAAGGAGUAAGAUUAGAUAGAAAUCACAGCUUAAAACACAAAAUAACUAAGUUGAAAUCAGUCUCAAAUAUGUGGGUUGAGCUGAUUUUGAAAUCUGGGUUUGAACCCAAGUCAAGUAAAUAGGUUCCAUGCCCAUAUUCAAGCCUCGACACUCAUCAUAUACGAGAUCUAAGGGAAACAUUACUUGAUCCGAGUGAAAGUAGGUUACAUGAGCUUUCAAAUGCAACAAACAUCAUAAAGAAUGACCAACCGAACAUAUCAAAAUGACUUCUCCAAGAAGCACACAUGCAAAGUCCACACUGACCAGCCAUGAAUCAAUGUGGAUGGGCUUGGUUUUGGCUCAAGUCGUGGAAGAUUUCAUGGUUUACCCAGGGGUUUAAAGACCAAACCAAGCCAACCUCAGCAUCAUUGGUACUCCCGUAUAACAUUCAUCAAGCUCGUGAAGACAAGUAAUGCACGAAAAUAGACAUAACAAAUCAAACAUGCAAGACUCUUGAAGAGAUUUCAACACUUAGAAAAAUUCUGAAAAAUUCUAGCCUCAAAAAUCAGUUUUCUGGACUGGUCUUGCUCUUGAUUUUUCAUGGUUGAAACAUGUUCAAAAUUGACCAAAAAUACAUCUAUGAUUCUUACCUUGCUUCCUACUUUCUUUUUCAAGUGACUCUUGGCCGAGGAAGCUGAGGAAUUAUCCUCGGGGGCCCAUGGAAGUUGGCUUCUUCAACUAGAAAAUGAGAUCUGCAAAGAAAGAACUGAUAACGAAGGUUUUUGUUGGUCUCUAAAAUUAGACUUUAGGGCCUCUUUUGUUGAAAAAACUUAACACCAAACCAAACUAUAUAUAUUUUAGUUUGGGGUGAAAGUUAAGCUUUUCCUCAUUUGUCUCUCAAUUUUCUCAAAAACACUCGCUUUCCCUCACCUGUGACCAACCGGGCUCGACACUACAGAAAAAAUUUUGGACUUUCUUAGCCUGCCAGGAGGGUGGUUUUUGGGGGGCUUUAGGAGAUCUUCCCAAACUCCAUUUGGGACGUGCGACCUAUGGAUGGAAAGAUCUUUGAGUGUAGUUUCACUCUCUAGUUGAAGAUUUUGGCUAAUUUUGGCCGCAGGUGUGUGAAAGUUUCACUUCUCUCUCUCAAAGUCGAUCUGAAAUUUCUGGGUUUUUUCUUUCUGGAGUUGCUUCUGAGGGCCUCUUUGAGGGACAACCAUGAGCUCUCCCCUCUCCUUCUCGUCUCCUCUAUUUCCUGCCUCAAAAGAGCAUGCUUCAUAGAUCUUGUCCACUAAAUUCAUCAAUCUCUUGGUCAGCUUUUGUCCACCUACCAAGUCUACCAACUGAGCUAGUUCACCCACUCUCUGACUUAAGCCAAUUUUUCAACUUCUGCAACUGUUGAGUGUGCGGAUUUUGCUACGAUUUUCCCGUGCUUUCAGCAGCUUAUUCCUGACCAAUUUUUGUCCACUUGUACUACCAAUAAUGGUCUUCCAUCACGUGCAAAGAUCAAGCUAAAUGGGUGGCUGAGUGGGAUAUGGUGGGGCCACCAAUAUGCCUACUUAACAGCUCCGAAUUAAGACUUAACCGUGGGUUGAGUUUUGGUAGCUGGUUUGGGCACUUUAAUCCAUCAAUUUGGCUGCGGUUUUUGAUCAAUUAACAAUCUUAUAUAUAGUAAUUUGAUAUCUUGACCAUUUUUCGCAAUUGUGCCCACCCAAUUUUGCAAGAAAGUCCCUCAAAGUUAACCAUUUCAUUAUCCGAAAAUACCCAAUUCAAGGCAAAUUUGGUCCUUUUGGCCCAAUUUGAUUGAUUCGACCUAGCCCAAGUUCAAUUUCAACUUAAUUCGUGACCAAGAUGAUGAUUUAAGGGUUCAGGCGAAAUUUUGCGAAAUUUGCGAAUUAGUCCCUCAACUUUUGAAAAUUGCAUUUUGGCCCCAACUUGCCAUUUUAAUUAGUCACAUUUAGAUCAUUGGCCCCAACUUGCUUCUUUCUUUUGUUUUUCUUUUCUCUUUUUUAUAGGAAAAACAUCUUCCAUUAAAAAAAAAAACUAUACUAAAUACUUAGAUAAUCUAUAUGCAAGAAUUUGACAUGAAAUAUUUUUGUGGAAAAACAAAUUUCCAUUUUUCGAAAAAUGAUUUUUUUGGCAAAAAAUUUAGGUGUCAACACUUUGGACCGUGAAUUAUAGCUGAGGAUUGAAUAGAUCCUGCUCGUUGAGCCGUGAGUAAGAAUUGAGAUUGAAUAGUUGAGAUAAUCAUGUGUGGUCUUGAUGACAUGUAAUUGACUAAGUCGAUUGAUCGAUGGUUCGAUCUAUUUGAGUAGAUGAUGUGAUUGUCAUGUUUAUGAAUUGAACUGACUUGUAGGAAGAACUGAGGCCAAGGUAAGUCCUCUGACCCGUGAUUGUGCUUAGGCAGCCCUUAGGGCAUAUUUUCUUCCUAAUCGGGUCUUAGGGGGUAGAACUCACUGAGACGUUGUCUCAUUGGUUAAUGUAUAACUAUUUUCAGGUCCUUAGAUGGUGUUCAUGGAGAACUUGAAGUCUCGAAGUUUGGGAAAGCGAAGGAAACAAAAUCGACAAACCUGUCUAACUCUCUAGUCAUAGGACAGUCCCUUUUUUAUUAAGCCGAUAUUUUUGUAAAUGACCUGAUGUGAUAAAUAAACCUGUAUGUUUAUAAAAGGUUGAUUUUGGUUUGAAAAAUAUAUGGCCUUACUAUCAUAUCCCAUUGUUUUAUUGUCGGGGGAUUCAUAUCUGCUUCCGCAUGCGUAUAUUAAAUUGAACAAGGUUGGCGAUGCAUCCUGGACAUCGCUAUUAUAUUGACCAAGCAAGGAUGGGCAUGUUCUCAGAGGAUCGAGGCGUGACAUUAUCCUUCUUUCUCG